rfam:Microgenomates (Amesbacteria) bacterium GW2011_GWC2_47_8 TY11_C0008, whole genome shotgun sequence.
GCCGGGGUGGCGGAAUGGCAGACGCGCCACUCUCAAAAAGUGGUGAGCCUUAAGCUCAUGCGAGUUCGACUCUCGCCCUCGGCA